rnacentral:rRNA from 1 species
UACGUAGGGUGCGAGCGUUGUCCGGAAUUACUGGGCGUAAAGAGCUCGUAGGUGGUUUGUCGCGUUGUCCGUGAAAACUCACAACUCAAUUGUGGGCGUGCGGGCGAUACGGGCAGACUGGAGUACUGCAGGGGAGACUGGAAUUCCUGGUGUAGCGGUGGAAUGCGCAGAUAUCAGGAGGAACACCGGUGGCGAAGGCGGGUCUCUGGGCAGUAACUGACGCUGAGGAGCGAAAGCGUGGGGAGGCGAACAGG